rnacentral:rRNA from 1 species
AUUGAACGCUGGCGGCGUGCUUAACACGAUGCAAGUCGGACGCGAAAGGGGCUUCGGCCCCGAGUAGAGUGGCGCACGGGUGAGUAACGCGUGGAUGAUCUGCCCUGAUGUUGGGAAUACAGUUGGAAACGACUGCUAAUACCGAAUACGCUCCCCUUUCAGUCUUGGGAGGAAAGACGGCCUCUGCUUGCAAGCUGUCGCAUGAGGAUGAGUCCGCGUCCCAUUAGCUAGUUGGUGAGGUAACGGCCCACCAAGGCGACGAUGGGUAGCCGAUUUGAGAGGAUGAUCGGCCACACUGGAACUGAAACACGGUCCAGACUCCUACGGGAGGCAGCAGUGGGGAAUAUUGCGCAAUGGGCGAAAGCCUGACGCAGCGACGCCGCGUGAGGGAUGAAAAGGUCUUCGGAUCGUAAACCUCUGUCAGAAGGGAAGAAAGCAGCGGGUGCCAAUCAGCCUGCUGUUGACGGUACCUUCAAAGGAAGCACCGGCUAACUCCGUGCCAGCCGCUGC